ACGGCGUGCCUUUUGCAUAAUGACCCUACGAGUUACUCUUCCUGGCAAGAUUAAGGAUUUAAGAUCUGGAGUCGGAGCGAAAGCGAGUCUGAACAGGGCGUUUAGUCAGGGGGAGUAGACGCGAAACCUUGUGAUCUACCCAUGGCCAGGUUGAAGGUGUGGUAACACACACUGGAGGACCGAACGAGUUUACGUUGAAAAGUAUUUCGAUGAGCUGUGGGUAGGGGUGAAAGGCUAAUCAAACUGGGAAAUAGCUCGUACUCCCCGAAAUGCAUUUAGGUGCAGCGCUGAUUUAGUUAUAUAGAGGUAGAGCUACUGAUUGGAUGCGGGGGCUUCACCGCCUACCAAUUCCUGACAAACUCCGAAUGCUAUAUAAUGAUUUUCAGCAGUGAGGGCAUGGGUGCUAAGGUCCAUGUCCGAGAGGGAAAGAACCCAGACCAUCAGCUAAGGUCCCCAAAUGUAUGCUAAGUUGAAAAAACGAGGUUUGUCUGCCCAGACAGCUAGGAUGUUGGCUUGGAAGCAGCCAUUCAUUUAAAGAGUGCGUAACAGCUCACUAGUCGAGCGGACGAGCAUGGAUAAUAAUCGGGCAUAAGUAUACUACCGAAGCUAUGGAUUUGUAUUUAAUACAAGUGGUAGGGGAGCAUUCUAAACUGGGUUGAAGGUGAUAUGUGAGUAUUGCUGGACUGUUUAGAAAAGAAAAUGUAGGCAUAAGUAACGAUAAUGCGGGCGAGAAACCCGCACACCGAAAGACUAAGGUUUCCUCAGCUAUGCUAAUCAGCUGAGGGUUAGUCGGGUCCUAAGGCGAACCCGAAAGGGACAGUCGAUGGCCAACGGGUUAAUAUUCCCGUACUACUUAUAAUUGUGAUGGGGUGACGGAGUGAUGAAAGUACCGCGAACUGACGGAAUAGUUCGUUAAAGCACCUAGCUAUAGGUCCCGUAGGCAAAUCCGCGGGAUUUGGUGAAAUGCGAUAGUACACGGAGUCUUCGGACAAAGUGAUAGUGUACCUAAGGGCUUCCAAGAAAAACCUCUAAACUUAGAUUAUAAGUACCCGUACCGUAAACCGACACAGGUAGUCGAGGAGAGAAUCCUAAGGUGCUCGAGAGAUUCAUGGCUAAGGAAUUAGGCAAAAUAGACCUGUAACUUCGGGAGAAAGGUCGCCCCGAGCAAUCGGGGCCGCAGUGAAAAGGUCCAGGCGACUGUUUAUCAAAAACACAGGGCUCUGCCAAAUCGUAAGAUGAAGUAUAGGGCCUGACACCUGCCCGGUGCUGGAAGGUUAAGAGGAGAUGUUAUCUUCGGAGAAGCAUUGAAUUGAAGCCCCAGUAAACGGCGGCCGUAACUAUAACGGUCCUAAGGUAGCGAAAUUCCUUGUCGG
rnacentral:rRNA from 1 species